rnacentral:lncRNA from 1 species
GAAGGAUGAAAGAGCAAAUAGAUUUUACAAAGAUGGAUUCGACCAAAAAAACACCGCUGGGGUCAUUUCGCAGUCAAUGGAGAAUGGACCAUAGCUUUUUUCUAUAUUUAUUAUUUGUAUAAAUUCUAAAAUACAAUACUAACAUUUAAAAGUUGACCCAAAAAAAAAAAAAUACUAAUUAACAUUUAAAAGAGCAUAAUAUAUAUAGUUGAUAAAAGAAAGACCAUAAAUGUGAACAUCGAUCGUUUGAUACAUGACUUGCGGCGUGAC